rnacentral:misc_RNA from 1 species
GAACGCAUCUUGCGCUUUUUGGGACCUUUCUUCCAAGAAGCAUGUCUGUUUGAGUAUCAUAAAAUUCUCAAUUCCUCGAUCUGUGACUCUUUUUUGUUAAAGUGUCUUGGGUUUAGGAUUUGGAUUGUGGGAGACUUUUGCAGGCGGCUUAGUCUGCUCUCCUCAAAUUGAUUAGCGAAAGUCCAAAUUGAUUUUCUUUGGUAUAAUAAUUACUUGUGCCGCUGAAAUCAAAUGUGUACUUUGGGGUUUUAUAAAGGCUUGCCGCUUCUAAAGCAGCUUUUGUUGAAAAAUGAAAGCUUUCGAUGUAUUGAUCUCAAAUCAGAUAAGAUUACCCGCUGAACUUAAG